AACGAACGCUGGCGGCAUGCCUAACACAUGCAAGUCGAACGAGACCUUCGGGUCUAGUGGCGCACGGGUGCGUAACGCGUGGGAACCUGCCCUUAGGUUCGGAAUAACUCCCCGAAAGGGGUGCUAAUACCGGAUAAUGUCUUCGGACCAAAGAUUUAUCGCCUUUGGAUGGGCCCGCGUUGGAUUAGCUAGUUGGUAGGGUAAAAGCCUACCAAGGCGACGAUCCAUAGCUGGUCUGAGAGGAUGAUCAGCCACACUGGGACUGAGACACGGCCCAGACUCCUACGGGGGGCAGCAGUGGGGAAUAUUAGACAAGGGGCGAAAGCCUGAUCCAGCAAUGCCGCGUGAGUGAUGAAGGCCGUAGGGUUGUAAAGCUCUUUUACCCGGGAUGAUAAUGACAGUACCGGGAGAAUAAGCUCCGGCUAACUCCGUG
rnacentral:rRNA from 1 species